GCGAGAAUAGGGAUUAAUCAGUGUGGAUCGGUGUUGGGGGAUUGAAGGACGGUAGCAGGGGAGUCAUGGACCCUGCAGCUGUCGAUAGGAUUAUUGAGAAGCUAUUAGAAGUUCGAUUAUCGAAGCCUGGCAAGUUGGUGCAGCUUUCCGAGUCUGAAAUCAAGCAACUAUGUGUUUCCUCUAGAGAUAUCUUCGUUAAACAGCCAAAUCUACUUGAACUUGAAGCACCCAUCAAAAUUUGCGGUGACAUUCAUGGGCAGUACAGUGAUCUGUUGAGGCUUUUUGAAUAUGGUGGUUUUCCUCCGAAGGCUAACUACUUAUUCUUGGGUGAUUAUGUAGAUCGUGGGAAGCAGAGCUUGGAAACAAUAUGCCUCUUGCUUGCCUAUAAGAUCAAGUAUCCUGAGAACUUUUUCUUGCUUAGAGGAAACCAUGAAUGUG
rnacentral:misc_RNA from 1 species